rnacentral:misc_RNA from 1 species
GUGAAUCAUCGAAUCUUUGAACGCAAAUUGCACUCUCUUCGGAGAGUAUGCCUAUUUGAGGGUCAGCCUAAAAAAAAUCGACAUAGUAGCUGUUUCGCGGUGACAUUCGUCAGAAAUUGGCUCAUCUUAAACCUUUAGGUUGUAAGCGGCUUAAAAUUUUCUUUUCGAUUCCACGAACGAUUCUAAGAUUUACUUGUUACACGUUU